ensembl:piRNA 21ur-1278 ncRNA
UAUUGACGUUUUCAGAAUUGA